rnacentral:rRNA from 1 species
UAACACGUGGAUAACCUACCUAUAAGACUGGGAUAACUUCGGGAAACCGGAGCUAAUACCGGAUAAUAUAUUGAACCGCAUGGUUCAAUAGUGAAAGACGGUUUUGCUGUCACUUAUAGAUGGAUCCGCGCCGCAUUAGCUAGUUGGUAAGGUAACGGCUUACCAAGGCAACGAUGCGUAGCCGACCUGAGAGGGUGAUCGGCCACACUGGAACUGAGACACGGUCCAGACUCCUACGGGAGGCAGCAGUAGGGAAUCUUCCGCAAUGGGCGAAAGCCUGACGGAGCAACGCCGCGUGAGUGAUGAAGGUCUUCGGAUCGUAAAACUCUGUUAUUAGGGAAGAACAAAUGUGUAAGUAACUAUGCACGUCUUGACGGUACCUAAUCAGAAAGCCACGGCUAACUACGUGC